GUCAGAAGAAGCAGGAAACCACACACACUCCGUGGUUUUCUGGCUAUAAUCUUGUUGCAGAUCUGUGUAGAAAUAGAUCGUUGCUGUCAAUCAAAUAAGGGCUAUGACAGAAAUUUGAGAUAAGACUUUGACUACAUCAUAAUGACACAACUAUAUAAAGCACUGGUUCAGUGCUUUAAUAAUCUUCGGCAAGUUACAGUAUGGUGCGGAAUGACUUUUGGUCUCCUAGAGCUGGUUGAGAAUUAAAUGUACCGCCCACAGAAACCUAAAAUCCCAGGAACAUGGACUGUUUUUACCGACACAAUUGCUAAGAAAGAUUUCUCUUCUGUGGCUGAGAUUUCCAUGUUAGAAAACUCCCUUUUACCUGGACUCAUGGUUCUGCUCUUAAAAGAAUUGGGAUGUGAGAAAGGAUAGUGAGCAUUGUUCCUGUGGAAGCUCCAUAUCAGACCUGGAGGUUCAGAAGAAGAAAUUAUUCCUUCGCAUUUGGAAACAAUAUCAGAAUUGAUUUCUUGGUGCAUCAGAAGCUCCAGAUGUGUCAGAGGUGAGUGCAAGAAAUUAUAGACAAGGCAACUCAAACUAGAUUUAUGUAUUGUGAGGCUUCUCCUUAGCCCUCCUCUUAAAAAUGUUUUUUUUCCUCUUUUUCCA
rnacentral:lncRNA from 1 species